rnacentral:rRNA from 1 species
CAAGUCGGACGGGAUUGAGGAGCUUGCUUCUCAUGAGAGUGGCGCACGGGUGCGUAACACGNUAUGUAACCUACCUUAGAUCAGGGGGAUAGCUCACUCGAAAGAGAGAUUAACACCGCAUAACAUUAUGAUAUGGCAUCAUAUUAUAAUCAAAUAUUUAUAGGACCAAGAUGGGCAUGCGGAACAUUAGCUAGUUGGUNAGGUAACGGCUUACCAAGGCUACGAUGUUUAGGGGAUCUGAGAGGAUGACCCCCCACACUGGUACUGAGACACGGACCAGACUCCUACGGGAGGCAGCAGUAAGGAAUAUUGGUCAAUGGACGCAAGUCUGAACCAGCCAUGCCGCGUGCAGGAAGACGGCCCUACGGGUUGUAAACUGCUUUUGUACNGGAAUAAACCUUUCCUCGUGAGGGAAGCUGAAUGUACGGUAAGAAUAAGGAUCGGCUAACUCCGUGCCAGCAGCCGCGGUAAUACGGAGGAUCCAAGCGUUAUCCGGAUUUAUUGGGUUUAAAGGGUGCGUAGGCGGCCUAUUAAGUCAGGGGUGAAAGACGGUAGCUNAACUAUCGCAGUGCCNUUGAUACUGAUGGGCUUGAAUGUACUUGAGGUAGGCGGAAUGUGACAAGUAGCGGUGAAAUGCAUGGAUAUGUCACAGAACACCAAUUGCGAAGGCAGCUUACUAAAGUAUGAUUGACGCUGAGGCACGAAAGCGUGGGGAUCAAACAGGAUUAGAUACCCUGGUAGUC